GAUGAACGCUGGCGGCGUGCUUAACACAUGCAAGUCGAACGGAAAGGCCCUGCUCUUGUGGGGUGCUCGUGUGGCGAGCGGGGGAGUAAAACGUGAGUAACCUGCACUUGACUUUGGGGUAACAUCAGGAAAAAGGGGCUAAUACCGGAGAGGAGCUCCUGCAGCGUGGGGGGGGAAGGAGAGAUACGGCGGUUGGGGCUGGACUAGAGGCUUAUCAGCUUGAUGGGGGGGUAGUGGCUUACCAGGGCUUUGAAGGGUAGCCGGCAUGGGAGCGUGGCCGGCCACAAUGGUCCUGCGGUACGGCCCAGACUCCAACGGGAGGCAGCAGUCGGGAGUAUUACAGAAUGGGCCGGCGCCAGUUGCAGCAACGCCGCGUUCGUAAUGCCGGCCUUCGAGUUGUGAACCGCUUUCGCCGGUGACGAAGCGUUAGUGACGGUAAUGAGUAAAAAAGCACCGGCUAACUACGUG
rnacentral:rRNA from 1 species